rnacentral:rRNA from 1 species
CCUACGGGGUGCAGCAGUGGGGAAUAUUGCGCAAUGGGCGGAAGCCUGACGCAGCGACGCCGCGUGAGGGAUGAAGGUCUUCGGAUCGUAAACCUCUGUCAGCAGGGAAGAACGGUAACUGUGCUAAUCAGCAGUGAAUUGACGGUACAUGCAAAGGAAGCACCGGCUAACUCCGUGCCAGCAGCCGCGGUAAUACGGAGGGUGAGAGCGUUGAUCGGAAUUACUGGGCGUAAAGCGGUCGUAGGCGGUAUGUAAAGGCAAGGGGGAAGGCCCCGCGCUAAACGUGUGAACUGCCUUUGAAACUGGCAGACUGGAGUGUGUGAGAGGAUAGUGGAAUUCCAGGUGUAGGAGUGA